CUGGUUCUCCCCGAAAGCUAUUUAGGUAGCGCCUCGUGAAUUCAUCUCCGGGGGUAGAGCACUGUUUCGGCUAGGGGGCCAUCCCGGCUUACCAACCCGAUGCAAACUGCGAAUACCGGAGAAUGUUAUCACGGGAGACACACGGCGGGUGCUAACGUCCGUCGUGAAGAGGGAAACAACCCAGACCGCCAGCUAAGGUCCCAAAGUCAUGGUUAAGUGGGAAACGAUGUGGGAAGGCCCAGACAGCCAGGAUGUUGGCUUAGAAGCAGCCAUCAUUUAAAGAAAGCGUAAUAGCUCACUGGUCGAGUCGGCCUGCGCGGAAGAUGUAACGGGGCUAAACCAUGCACCGAAGCUGCGGCAGCGACACUGUGUGUUGUUGGGUAGGGGAGCGUUCUGUAAGCCUGCGAAGGUGUCCCGUGA
rnacentral:rRNA from 1 species